GGGCUUUGGCAGACCACAAGCGCAUUGUGUUCACGGUGUUGUUACGAUAGCCAGGCACUGGGGUGUCAUAGGGCAUGGCCAGAACCACCUAGAGGCGGGAGAGUGUGUCAGGGGGCCCCCAGGGCCCAGGCAAAACUCCAUCUGCACACAGAUGUUAUCCCCAUGAGCCCAGAUAACCCCACGACCGGGGCGCAGGACCCAUGGGUCCUGGUCCUGACUCUGCCGCUAAUUCACUAUGUCUAAGAUAGAACACAUCUCCUACCAGGGCUCCUUUUCUUCAUCUGAAAAAUGAGGGCGCUGCUUUAAACAAUCUUGAAGGUCCUUCCUUCCUCUGACAUUCCACGUUCUAUGCUCUGGGGCCCCUCCCGCCUCUGACAUUCCACGUUCUAUGCUCUGGGGUCCCUCCCGCCUCUGACGUUCCACGUUCUAUGUUCCGAGGUCCCUCCGGCCUCUGACGUUCCACGUUCUAUGUUCUGAGGUCCUUCCUAUCUCUGACAUUCCACAUUCUAUGCUCUGAGGUCCCUCUCACCCCUAACAUUCCAUGUUCUAAUGUUCUAAAAUCCCACCUACCUCUGACAUUCCAUGACAUUUCAUGUUCUAGCUUCCAAGCCUCCUCCCAGCUUGUAGCUCCCAUGUUCUAAGUUCUAAGGUUCCCCCCUAGCUCUGACACACUUCUGAGUCAUUUCCCAUCUCAGGGCCUCAGUUGGCCUUCCUAUAAAAUGCUGAUGACAACAUCUGGUGUUUUAAGUGCCUUACUCACUGUGGGACCCCUGGUAAACUUCCUUCUGAAACUUCAGGGUCUGAACCUCCACACCCUGUGGCUCACCACCCACCCCCAUGCCCCACCUCCAGAGCACCCUGAGCUCUGUGGAGGUCUGAUGAGAUCAGAGACUGUGAUGUUGCUAAUUCAGUAUUUUACAGAGCAGGCAGCUGGCCUGGGAUCCAGCAGGAGCUGGGUUCUAAUCCCUCCUCUGACACCUUCUGGCUGCGUGACCCUGAGCAAGUCACUUAACCUCUCCCAAGAGGCUCCAGACAAUUCACAAAGCCUGUCACUAUGAGAUGACCACAAGAGGCAGUGUCAUCUCAAUCAAAGGAGGUAGACAGCAGGUGUGAAAUGAAUAGCAGACACCUGGCCAGACUAGCCCCACCUCUGCCUCAUCGGAGCACUGACCGGGAGCUUUUUACAGAGGAAGCUGAGCCUCCGUGGGAGAGGGAAACUGAGGCACAAAGGAGGAAGUCACACAGCUACUUUCAGAGGAGGGAUCUGAACUCGGGUCUUCUAGACUCCAAAUCCAGCACGAAUUAGACCAAUCCCAACUCUCUGGAAAGGGCAAGGUUGAGGAAUAUAUUCGGAAGUGAAAGAUGUCCCAGGCGGUGUCAGUCUGUUCUGGCCCUGGUUUCUAGCCCCCGGGGCUUACCUGGGUAUCCACCCACUUGGCCCCCUGGUUGGUGUGCUCCACGUGGCCGUAGAAAUGGACGGGCAAUGUGAACUCCGGCCGGGCCUU